rnacentral:rRNA from 1 species
UAGUCCCAGCCGUAAACGGUGCGCACUUGGUGUGGGAGGUAUUGACCCCUUCCGUGCCGGAGCUAACGCGUUAAGUGCGCCGCCUGGGGAGUACGGCCGCAAGGCUAAAACUCAAAGAAAUUGACGGGGGCCCGCACAAGCGGAGGAGCAUGUGGCUUAAUUCGAUGCAACGCGAAGAACCUUACCAGGGCUUGACAUGUAACUGCACGCUCUCCGAAAGGAGAGAAGCCUUCGAGGGUGUUACACAGGUGCUGCAUGGCUGUCGUCAGUUCGUGCCGUGAGGUGUUGGGUUAAGUCCCGCAACGAACGCAACCCCUGUGUUUAGUUGCCACCGACGGUGAUGAGCCGUCGAGCACUCUAGACAGACUGCCCGUACAAGCGGGAGGAAGGUGGGGACGACGGUCAAGUCAGUAUGGCCCUUACGCCCUGGGCUGCACACGUGCUACAAUGGUCGGUACAGAGGGACGCAAGACCGCGAGGUGGAGCAAAUCCCCAAAACUGGCCUCAGUUCGGAUUGG